GUUUAAAUGUUCACCCCUCUAACGGCUCUAACUUAUUAAACACAGUUUUUCAACACUAAAAAAACGUUAUUUUAUAACUUAUAGCUGUUAGGAACUUUUAAACUCUCCUACCGUUUUUGACGGUUUGAAUGUAUUUUAAGUGUUUUUUUUUUUUUUUAAUUUUAAGUACGAAAAGUCCUGAGCCCCGUUGGCGGUUAAUGCAAUAUAGUAAAACGCCAUAACACACACAAUAGUAAAGCUGCGUUAAUGAUUCAAAUACAUAUAAUAGUUACCUAUUACAUGACAUGUUAAUACACAAUUUUACAUGGCGUUGAAUGAAAUAAGGUUAUUCUUUUCUUUUUUUUUUUUCAUAUAAAAUUGCAUAUUUCCCUUAAAUGGGUACCUAUACUUAAAAUAAUUAAUUCGAUAUCCACUGUGAAAAUCCCAUCUCCGUUUCUCCAGCGCCAAUACAUUUACAACUUGAUUAACCGCAACCGACAUAUCUCCGUGUGUCCUAUCAUCGAGGAGAUCUUAUCCAUUUAAUCGGUUUUCCAAGUUUGUAUUUCUGAGAUAUUAUAUUUUACAACAUUGAAAUUAUAGAAUUUUUUUAAAUGAUAAACAAAAAAGUAAAAUCGACGUUAUUUUUUUUUUCACGUUUAUAGGUACGAUCCGAGUGGGGUAAAGGUGCCCGUUACUGCAACGGGUAUUCGGGAAAAAAAAGCGAAAAUUCAUAACAUAAUGUAACAAAUAUAUAGGUAGGUAUGUAAUGAUUUUUGUGAUAUUUUCGAAAAAAUACGGCCGUGAUAUGCAUGCUUCUUUCGAAAAUAUUCACUCUACUCUAAAUUUCGCGUUAUCUGCGUUUAUUUCAAUCUAAACGUCACUGUAUGUUUUAUGUACGUUGUACGUAAACGAAAUAAUUUCGUUUCGCUGUCCGCCGUUAGUUAGACUGAUGAGGCAGUAUGUGUGCGGAUUUCGCGUCG